CGAACUGGCGCCGGUCAGUUGUCAUCGCGGUCAUAUAAAUCCACAGCAUAAUCAGGCUGCAUGAGGCGCAGGUGUGCACUUCCCAAUCAGCGCACCUGCGCGGGCACCCGCACAGCUCGUGCUGGAGUGGCAGGAUCAUGACACUAAGGGUCACCUGUUCAAAUCUACGCCUCAUUGAGUGUCGUCGUUCUGCCCAUGACCGAGACACUUAAGCCACGAAUUCAUGUACCAUAUUUUCCAGACUACAUAACGCACCAGAUUACAACUUGCACCUACUUUGUCGAGAGGGUUUUUCCAUAUAUUAGCUCCACCGGAAAAUAUGCCACAGAUAUAAGUAUAAGUAUGUUCUGAAAUUAUACAAUCAGGCCGAAAUACUUUGUAAAUGGCUAAUUUUUGUGAAAGAUUUCUCGCCGUUGUUCAUCCAAGCCUCCCAGUCACACGCCGCCUGAAAAACCCGAUUCCCGCUGAUGAUGUUGACCAAGUCCUCAAGAACAAGUUUGGGCCAUCUGCUCUCAUGACCUCUUUGUUUUCUUUUGGCAUUGCAUCAUUACUCCACACUGCCAUCUCCAAAACCUCUGCAUUGAUUCAUCAAUGCCAAGCUUCCAUGCAGCAGCACGAUUUCCCUCCUGGAUGGAUAGAUCGAUGGCUUUCAACUUAAAAGCUGGCUCAUUCUUGUACUUUCUUUGAUGAGGAAAGGAAAAACCGGAGACACAAGACAGAAAAGAGAAGAUAACCAUCAAAAUGGAUCGGAGAAUAACCAGAAUGGCAAAGGGUCAGCCAAUCGUCAGAUCCGGGAUAAUCAAAGACAGUCUGGAGUUUCCAUGGCACUUUAAGAAUGGGAUGGAUUUCCGACGGGGCUUCUGACAACCGACGGCUGCUUCAGACAAGUAACGACUCACUUUCCACCAACCUGUUUUUCUGCCUCGCGUCUUUUGGACAUUUCUGGAUGUUGGAAAUAACAUUCACCUACAAGGACAUUAGUUUG